rnacentral:misc_RNA from 1 species
CAGCUCACCACUGCUAGCUUGGGAAGAGGAGGAGGAGCUUGAGCUUGGAGAGAGACAACAAUGGCGGCUCAGGCUCUUCUCUCUGGGAGGCAGCUGCUGGGGAGGCCAUUGCAAUCUUCAGUCUCCAGGUCUUCUUCCUCCAGGAAGGCACCCUUCAUGGUCAGGGCAGAGGCCACUCCCCCUGCCAAGCAAGGUGCUGACAGGCAGCUGUGGUUCGCAUCCAAGCAGUCCCUGAGCUACCUGGAUGGCACGCUUCCGGGAGACUUCGGGUUCGACCCGCUGGGGCUAUCGGACCCGGAGGGGACCGGUGGGUUCAUCGAGCCACGGUGGCUGGCCUACGGCGAGGUGUUCAACGGCCGGACGGCGAUGAUGGGCGUCGUCGGCAUGGUCGCCCCGGAGCUCCUCGGCAAGCUGGGCCUCGUCCCCGCCGAGACGGCGAUCCCGUGGUUCCAGACCGGCGUGAUCCCCCCCGCGGGCACCUACACCUACUGGGCCGACCCUUACACUCUCUUCGUCUUCGAGCUCGCCCUCGUCGGCUUCGCCGAGCA